AACGUAGGUCACAAGCGUUGUCCGGAAUUACUGGGUGUAAAGGGAGCGCAGGCGGGAGAACAAGUUGGAAGUGAAAUCCAUGGGCUCAACUCAUGAACUGCUUUCAAAACUGUUUUUCUUGAGUAGUGCAGAGGUAGGCGGAAUUCCCGGUGUAGCGGUGGAAUGCGUAGAUAUCGGGAGGAACACCAGUGGCGAAGGCGGCCUACUGGGCACCAACUGACGCUGAGGCUCGAAAGUGUGGGUAGCAAACAGG
rnacentral:rRNA from 1 species